UCGAAUAAGCGAAGAAGAUAGUUUGCGAGAGAAGACAGGUCUUCUCAAAAAACCAAUUAUUGGCAAGCCAUACACGGCCCGCGAAAACAAAGCGCGCCCCUGCGAUUCCGCGGGAAUUCUCCAAGGACACGCCCCCAGCAACAUGUCUGUGAUUGGCUGGGCAUGUCAUGGAUGGCGCCGUUACACAGCGCCCUUGGUGACAGCCCGGCAACGGCAACGGGGGCACAGCCUCUACGCUAAAAAGAACCAAUGAAAUGCAUUGAAAGAAUUCAGGGACGUGCGCAAUACGCGACAGAUUUGGAAGCACAUGUUCAUUCUCAACUAAGCUCUGGGGGAUGCAAGACGUUAAUUCGUAGUUCGCUAUGAAACCGUUCUUGGAUCAUCAUAGUUUAGGCCUCACUUUAGCAGGCUAAUACAAACAAUUCAAGUACUAGUAUUGCUCAUCCCAGGUCACAGGGAUGUCAGGAUAAAAUGGAUCCCGGGAAAAUUAAUUCUCAGCGUUUUUAUCAACAUUAUGAAUGGCUAGCCGUCCAGAUCUCGCUGACGACACGCUGGUGGAGCUGCAGAGUGCAGUGAAGGGAUGGACGGAUACAACGCUGAAUUACCGAACCCUAUCUCAGUUAGGCCGGGAUCAUCGUUCUCGUUAGAGGUCUAACGUUAGAUCGACCGCUAUUUUGCCACGGUCUAUCGGUGAGACUGCAGAGUUGGAAUAUACAUUAGCUUCCACAGGAAUAAUAAGUACUUUCAGUCAAACGGAAGCUCUGACCAAUGCCGUGAAUGAGGAUAUUUGCCGGAGUUGUUCUCUUAUGAGUACAACUAGGCCGAUUGUCUUUUGAGGCUGUGCCUGUGUCUGUGAUAAAACUGCCGGCGAUGCUUCGAGUUCGAUGGAGCUGGAUCUAAUUGAUUGUUGAUGCGAAUGGAGUGGAGUUAGGGCCCGGACCACAGUGUAUAUAUCUUGACCCGGGACGUGGAGUCUGAAGUUAAUUGGCCAGGGCACAAAUGAUCAAGCCUAGACCCAGACUGAUGUACGAGGAGACUUGACCUGGACUGGUGUACGAAGGGACAGGGCUUAGACUUGGCUUACUAUGGUUCACAUUGGAUGACAGUGGUUGCAAAGGUUUUCACACUGCAAGAUGAGAAAUCCGGAUUUAUUUGAAGAUGCCGGAUUUAUGGUUUAACGUAAUGCUCUAAAUAGACGAGAGGUUGAGAAAUGCAGUGAUCAAGAUCCUUAAGUCCAGACUUGAAGAGGAAACAUGAAUAAUCUCGAAGUUGCUGAGAAGUAUAACCCUUUCGGAGAAAACUAAAAAACCUUGGAAAAAAGGGGCAUUAUGGGAACACCUUCAGUUCGUAUCUAUUUGCAAUUCUGGGCAGCCAGCAAAGUCGGUUGAAGCAUCGAUAACCAAGAAUAUAAACAAAAACUGUGAGGCAUGUCCCUCUGGUGCAUUUAUGUGCUUAUAUAUGUCUCUUCCUUUAAGACAUAACCUCACCUGUUGUAAGAGGCGAUCUCAUAUAUGAAGCCAACUUGAAUGUGGGAAUGCACGCCUUGAUUUUUAUGCCCCCAUUUAACUUCAUUAAUCGACGUGGAAUGGAUAUUAUUUGUUUCGAUUCACACUGGUGACCAAAAACGAAAAAAAAAAAAAAAAAAAAAAAAAUCCCGGUUCUUAGCUUGAAGGAAGGCAUUCCUACAUAAACAUUACACAUGAGAAAAUCAUGCAAAAUUUCCUAAUGCAUGAACUGUUACCAGGGAUGAUGAAAUUCAAUGGUCUUAUUUAACGGUUAUGGAGGCCACAGUUUGUUCACUUGAAAAGAAAUACACAUUUAUCAAAUAGUUGUGGAGAUUGAUUUUGUAUGGCAUUUCAUCAAACAGUUGAGUUGUACAAUAAUGAUAGAAUUACUAGCAUGGUUUGGCUAUACAUUAAUCUGAUAUAUUCUUUGGCCUCAAAUUAUUUCAUGUUAGAGUCACUUCGAUGACCCCCUAAUUGACAUUAAGUUGAAAUUAGUUGAAAGAAGGGUACUCCUUUUUAAGGUGUGCCAAGACAUUUGUUGAUUUGUUGUUUCACAUUUCCGCAAAAGUGGAUCCGAAGGUUUUCCAGAGUUUCUUCUCACCGAGUUUUAUCUCUGGUUUUUUACCCUGGACCUACUUGACGUGGAAUUGGUUUCAGCUCUCGUUGCAUGAGUUAUGUUUAGUGCAACGAGGGCUUAAACUUGCGAACAACAUUCACUCGCAGGGGGAAUGAAAUAAGCAAGGAUGCGAUGUUGUCAAGCUUGUUAAUGGUUUAGAGUGAGAAUGGUUGGCCAAUGUCCAAUUGAUGUAGAGAUAUUUAUAACAACUUGGAGGUGUAGACGAAGAGUAUGGUAUAUGAUGCGUCCAUUCGUUGAUCGCAUGAGAUUGCUUUGUAUGGAAUAAUUUUUUGAUUGUUGACUAUCCAUUCCGAUGGCUGGCAUGGUUUAUUGAUCAUUAACUUAGUUGUUGUUGUCCUUGAUUAUUGAAUUGGCUGGGUUGUCGAGCGUGAAAACUCACUUUUGAACUUAUGGCUUGGUUGGGCUUGGUUACAGAAUUACCGACUGAUUAUUAUCGGUAGCUUUGACAUCAGCUUUCCAGGGGAGGCAAUGGUUUGAUAAUUUAAAGUCGACGGCACCGAUGCACGGCCCUCUAUUCUACCAUUUAGGGUCGCUGCCGAGGAGGCAGAAUAUGGGACCAAAUCCUACCUUAGUCAUGAUAUCGGGGGUGCUUUGGAAGAGUGGCCCUUAUUUUAUCGAGUAUUAUUAUACGAUAAAAUGCACAAAAUAGAAUUCUCAUACUAGUAUAAUGGCGACAUUAUUGAAGUACGAGUAUAAUUACAUGACAAAAGAAGAUGACGCUCAUAGUAUAUAUUUUGGUCCUAGUGCAUGCAGAGGACAAGGGAGAGAGAGCAUAAUUUAUGGGUUUCCGAAACCAUGAGUUGCAACCAGGAAACCAGACGCGAUGGUUUGGGAGGGAUGGCCUUGACAUGAAGGGACUCCCAGAAUCCAAUAGCGUUUGCCAAGUGUCACGGCAAAAAAAAAAAAAAAAAAAAAAAAAAAAAAAAAAUUAUUAUUUGGGGCUUUCGCUUUUUUGUGGGUAUUUUUUCUUAUAUCGGUCAAAUUUCAACACCAGGGGGAGGCACUGUAUACUAAUUAUGUCAAGAAAAUCGGGACAGGGGAACCCAACUUUCCAAAGUCUCCUGGUUUGGAAGUCCGGCUGGAUGUCUUCCGGCAGGUUCCCCUUCCAAGAAUUCACGUUCUGGUCUUGAAGCCUCUCCCCCAAUUUUAUUUCACACAUGAGAUAAUCUUGUAUUGAAUAGAUGAUAAAUGUAAAGAGGGGAAUCCGCACCCCAGGAAAUACCUGUCCUGGGAUCCCGUUGGAUCUCUUCCUUCUGGGAGGUCACGUGACCCGGUUUCCCCCUUAAAAUCUGGUUGAUUGUGGCUUGAUGAAUAUUGUUUAGAAACUGUGUACUUGUUAAAAUAUUGUAAAUGUCGUUUUAAUGAUUCUGGUAAAAUCCCCCAGAGGCAAUAAAGUUGAGAAACGGCAAUUUCAUGUUCGAUCUGUAUUUAUUCUCGCAAUAAGAUUAUUCGAAUAAGCGAAGAAGAUAGUUUGCGAGAGAAGACAGGUCUUCUCAAAAAACCAAUUAUUGGCAAGCCAUACACGGCCCGCGAAAACAAAGCGCGCCCCUGCGAUUCCGCGGGAAUUCUCCAAGGACACGCCCCCAGCAACAUGUCUGUGAUUGGCUGGGCAUGUCAUGGAUGGCGCCGUUACACAGCGCCCUUGGUGACAGCCCGGCAACGGCAACGGGGGCACAGCCUCUACGCUAAAAAGAACCAAUGAAAUGCAUUGAAAGAAUUCAGGGACGUGCGCAAUACGCGACAGAUUUGGAAGCACAUGUUCAUUCUCAACUAAGCUCUGGGGGAUGCAAGACGUUAAUUUGCCCUCCCUCCCGCCCAUUUAAUAAUGGUUGUGAGUGGUUGGUUAUAAUAUUGUCAGGGUCGGAGGGUAUUGUUUCUGCCUCCAAAAAUGUGGUACACAUGUUAUGAAAAAAGAUUGGACGAUAUAAUACAUGGUUGUUAAUAAUUCUGUCGUGAUUUUUGUUUAUACUCAAAUCUGUCAAAGGCGAUUGUGCUAAUUAAUCUAAAUGUGGUAAUAGCGAAUUUUAAAGACGGGGCUCGAGAUUGCUCAAUGAGCCUGUUUAAGUGCAAGUUGUGCCGGUUACAGUUGAUUGAAAUAACCUUAUAUUUUGGUUGGUUAUACUGUUGAUAGAUAACAUGGAUUUAUUUUGGUUGAUUGGCUGGGCGUGUGUUUGGAUAGAAUUGCAUUGGUUGCAUAGGCUUGUAUUAGUUGACUGGAUGGGCUUGAUUGGCUUGUUGGUCGGAUAGACUUGCAUUGGUUGGUUGGGCGAUAUGUUUGGUUGUUUAUUAUCAUAAGGAUCCACGCUCUACAAGCAAGGCUUUUAGUGGAUCCCCUCAUUUCCAAACAAGUUCUUGUGAAUACAAUUGCCCAAAUUUUCAUAAUUUGUCUAUAGUUGAUUUGUAAUUACAAUUGUUGUGUACUUGUGUUUAUGCAUUUAGUGCAUAUCUGAUUUGUACCGUGAUUUUUUAUGAUGUACAUGACGGAAGUUCAAAAUGAACUCGUUUUUAUUCGGUUGGAUGUGCUUGCGCUGGUUGGGUGGAUGGGCUUGCUAUGAUUGGUUGGUUGGUUAUAAUGAUCAUAGGGAUUCACGCUCUCCAAGUAGUUAUUUUAGUGGAUCCCCUCAUUUCCAACCAAGCUAUUAAUACUUUUGUACAAAUUUUAAAAUUUUGUCUGUAGAGUGGACCGGCAAUUACAAUUGAUAUGUAUUUGCAAAUUGUUUAUGCGCACUAUGAUGCAUAUUUAAUUCGUGUUUGUAUUUGGUAAUGAUGUACAAGAUGAACUGAAAUUUGUUUGGUGGCUUUAUAUGGUUGGUUGGCUGGGCUUGUUCUGGUUGACUACAAUUGCACAAAUUUUCAUAAUUUGCAGUUGAUUUGGAAUUAUAAUUGAUGUGUAUUUGUGUUAAUGCAUUUGAUGCAUAUUGAUUGGUACCGUAAUUUUUUGUGAUGUACAUGACGGAAGUUCAAAAGGAACUUGUUUUGUUUGGUUGGAUGGGCUAACAUUGGUUGGAUGUUUGGGCUUGUUAUGAUUAGUUGAUUGGUUAUGAUCAUAGCGAUCCACGCUCUAUCAGCAGAUCCUUUAGAAAGAUCCCCUCAGUUUCAACCAAGCUGAUAAUACUAUUGUACAAAUAUUGAAAUUGUGUCCGUAGUUGACUUGUAAUUACAAUUGAUAUGUAUUGUCAUUGUUUAUGCAUCAUAUCAUUUAUAAUUGAUUUAUGUUUGUAUGUGGUAAUGAUGUACAAGGUGAACUUAAACUCGUUUGGCUAGUUAUAUUGGCUUUACAUGGUUGAAUGGUUGGAUGGGCUUGUUAUGGUUGGUUGGUCGGGCUUGUUAUGGUUGGUUGGUCGGGCUUGAUAUGGUUGGUUGGAUGGGCUUGUUUUGGCUGGUAGGAUGGGCUUGUUUUGGUGUUUGGCCUGAUUACUGAGUAUUUUUUCUUAUAUCGGUCAAAUUUCAACACCAGGGGGAGGCACUGUAUACUAAUUAUGUCAAGAAAAUCGGGACAGGGGAACCCAACUUUCCAAAGUCUCCUGGUUUGGAAGUCCGGCUGGAUGUCUUCCGGCAGGUUCCCCUUCCAAGAAUUCACGUUCUGGUCUUGAAGCCUCUCCCCCAAUUUUAUUUCACACAUGAGAUAAUCUUGUAUUGAAUAGAUGAUAAAUGUAAAGAGGGGAAUCCGCACCCCAGGAAAUACCUGUCCUGGGAUCCCGUUGGAUCUCUUCCUUCUGGGAGGUCACGUGACCCGGUUUCCCCCUUAAAAUCUGGUUGAUUGUGGCUUGAUGAAUAUUGUUUAGAAACUGUGUACUUGUUAAAAUAUUGUAAAUGUCGUUUUAAUGAUUCUGGUAAAAUCCCCCAGAGGCAAUAAAGUUGAGAAACGGCAAUUUCA